rnacentral:lncRNA from 1 species
UCUUGGCAGAGGAGAUGGUGGGCCCUGCCACUGCCUCUACACAGCAAACUGUUGCUAGGUUUAUGUAAAUACCAUGGAAACCAGAGCUGUAACACAGAAAGACUCGCAAAGAAGCAACUUAACAUAAGGUCAACAAGCCCCCGACAAAAAGUGUAUAUAGUGCUCAAUCUUCAAAAUACAGCCAACGCUCUGUUUUCCUUCCUAACCCCUAGGCUAAAAAGGCUAAUGAGAUUCACAGACAACAUAUUAAAUGA